rnacentral:rRNA from 1 species
AUACGUAGGGUGCGAGCGUUGUCCGGAAUUACUGGGCGUAAAGAGCUCGUAGGUGGUUUGUCGCGUCGUCUGUGAAAUUCCGGGGCUUAACUCCGGGCGUGCAGGCGAUACGGGCAUAACUUGAGUACUGUAGGGGAGACUGGAAUUCCUGGUGUAGCGGUGAAAUGCGCAGAUAUCAGGAGGAACACCGGUGGCGACGGGGGGUCUCUGGGCAGUAACUGACGCUGAGGAGCGAAAGCAUGGGUAGCGAACAGGAUUAGAUCCCCUGGUAGUCCAUGCCGUAAACGGUGGGCGCUAGGUGUAGGGGUCUUCCACGACUUCUGUGCCGUAGCUAACGCAUUAAGCGCCCCGCCUGUGGAGUACGGCCGCAAGGCUAAAACUCAAAUGAAUUGACGGGG